rnacentral:lncRNA from 1 species
CACCAUGUCUUUCCUUAUGAACAAAUUGAUUAGGGAACGUCCUCUAACCAAUUACUAAUCAACAAAUUGCCAAGGAACGUCCUUGGGCCAUAGGCAUCAAAACAAUUGCCAAUUGCAUGAAGAACAAGAAAGAUCCAAACCCUAACUACUCAAACGCAUGAGAUGUUGCUAGAUCAUGCAAUUUCUUGGUUUUUACACCAAGUGUUCUUAGAUCAGAAUAUUUCCAGCAAUUACGGACUAACAAAUAUCCUAAUCAACAAUCAAUUAACUUUGCAAUCAAGAAUCAAGUGGCC